rnacentral:rRNA from 1 species
CACGGGGGGAGCAAGCGUUGUUCGGAAUCACUGGGCGUAAAGGGCGUGUAGGCGGUCAGGUAAGUGAAAUGUGAAAUGCCUCGGCUCACCCGAGGACCGGCAUCUCAUACUGCCUGACUUGAGUACGGGAGAGGAUGUGGGAAUUCCUGGUGUAGCGGUGAAAUGCGUUGAUAUCGACAGGAACGCCGGUGGCGAAAGCGGAUUGCUGGUCCUUUUCUGACGCUGAGGCGCGAAAGCCAGGGGAGCAAACGGG